CAGGAAGUCUUGACUUCAAGAGGCAGCAAAGCUCUAUAACAGUCCUACUCAUGAAGACCUCUAAUGUCUGGUGGAGUGGAAUAUCUCCCAGUAGCUGGAUUGCCAAUUCGAAGGAAGGAAGGAAGGAAGGAAGGAAGGAAGGAAGAGAGGGAGGAAAGAAGGAAAUCAAUCUCUGGAAUUUACGUUCCUGUGACUGUUUUCACUUAUCGCAUUUUUUUUCUAGAUCCAUAUUACUUAAUAUCACCAUAUUUUCAAGACUCUAGAAGAAGGAAUCAAUACCCUAUUCUUUAGGAGUAUUCAUUUUACAGAUACGUUUGAAUAUCCUGGAAAAUCUGUAUUUCUGUGUACUUCUCAAGGCUAACUCUAAAACUAUAGAACUUGAAAAUGUCUUUUAAAAAUUGGAAAUAAUUUUGUGAUCUAGGUUCACAGUCCAGAUACAUCUUGAUUAUACAUAAGAAUGAUAGGUCAAGUUAUAGAGCACCCUAAUAUGUUUUUUUCCUUUUCCACUCCACGUGUAAUUUCUUCUGCAGCCCAAGUUUACUCAUCUUACAGAGAGUUACAGCAUUCUCUGCUGGGGAUUUUUGAGAACAUUUAGGCAUAACCAGAGAAACCACAUUCAAUUUAUUCAUAGCAAAGAUGACACUGUUACUGCUUUGUGCACUUUUUCUAGAAUUCCUAUCCUUAUUUUCAGUUUUGGAGAUCUAUGUAAAAUGGUUGUUUUAGUCCAGUGGUUCUUUUGCAUUCCCACUAGCCUUACCCCUUCUCUUUUAGGGUCUCUAAAAUAACCUGCUUUUUAACAAUAAAAUCACUGCACUGGUUUGUAGGACAUGAGUUUUCAGCUGCCAACCAGGCAUAACACUACUUUUGAGUAUGUUGCUAUUGCAGUACUGUUUAUUUUGGAUUUAUGGCUGUUUCUUCACUGAAAACUUGAAAAGGUCAGCUUUGUCUCAGUAAGAAAAAGGGAAACUUUUGAAAUUUGUCUGGAAAAAAAUUUUCUUGCCCAUUUCUAUUUUUACAUAAAAUUUCUUCCACUCUUAAGGUUUUGGAGUCAACUAAUCUGAAAUCAAAAACUUAAAUGGCCCAUUGACACAGCUGCCUCUUCUUCUAAACCUACCAGAUGUGAACCUGAAACCAGUAAGUGAAAACUCAAAUUAAGCUCUAGAUCCUAAAUUAAUAUUAAGAAGCAAAAAAUCCUAUUGACAAAUCUGCAUUAUCCACUUUUCACCUUGACUUUCUCUUCCUCAGAGGUCAGGUGAUUAAUCACAAUCAAUCCAGGAGCCCACCAGAACAAAUGGAAAACCCCCACAUCUUCGUUAUAGUGGCUGAAAAAAUUAUACUUGAACAGCCAAAAGAAGAAAUGUGAAUGCAAAAGUGCAUACACGGCAAAUCAUUUGGUAUGACAACAUAUGUGUAACAAAAUCAUUUAUGUUUUUGUGUAGAUUACAAAGGUACAGAAAGAAAUAAAUUAUUUUCUGUAGGAUGUGUAUAUGUAACACCAAAAGUAAAAUUCAAAGAAGCACUUAACAAGGACAUUUCUCUUUAGGUUGAGAACUUAUUUUACAGAAGUUCAGCAGUGACAUUUUAAAAACAAUUCAGAAAUAUUUAUGUGGGAACCUGUGCUUCACCUUAAUCCAGGUAUAAUUAUGAUUGUAACAUUUUGUCAUCAUCUGAAUAUCUGAAUAAGGGGAAAGCAUAUUGGCUACUUGGAACAUUUCCUCUAAUCUUUUGCCCUUGGAAGUCCCUGACUCCUCUAAUUUCUGCUUAGGCUAACUAAAGCUAAUAUAUCAAAGAUACUUAUAUUGGUGACUCAUAGACUAAACUGCUGCUCAUAUUCAUUACUUAUUCUAUCUCUAAUAGCUAUCUUUUGUUAUAGUAAGUGCUAUACCCAGGCAUAUGGAGACUGCUGACCAAGAAAAACAAAUAUAGUCAUCCAUACAAAAUGUGUGUCUGGACUUCUGAGGUAUGAAUUCACUACAGAAUUAACUUACCCAUAAUUUCAGAGAAGAAAAUCAUCCCUUUCACUUGGGGGUGAGGAAGGGAGGAUCAGAUGGAAAUUAGCAGUAGAAAAGUGGAACCUGUCUAGGUUCUGCAUAAGAACUUCAUAUUUGUUCUAAAAGCACAUGGAGAAGAGUGAAUACCUUCACUCACUGUUCUUUACUGGUAAAACUUGCCUUGAACAGUUUCAGCCCCUUGAGUCAAGUGAGGAAUCCCAUUGCAAGAAAGACUUACCCUCAGUGGAGGAGGAUCAUGUCAGGGAACAUUCAAACAAACUAAGCACACGUGAGGAGUGUGCUCAUCCAUAGGAGCUAAUGGGAUGCAAUCAUGAGACCUGAGGAAGGUGGUCACUGUCAUUGCAAGAUUAUACUCAAUCUUUAAAAGGUCUGCAGACUGGUCAGCAUCAGCUGAGACUAGCACAGUUGGCCAGAGCAUAGUGCUGAUAACACCAAGGUUGUGGAUUCAAUCCCUAUAUGGGCCAUUCACUUCGGAGUUGGACUUGAUCUUUGUUGGUCCCUUCCAACUCAGAACAUUUUGUGAUUCUGUGAUCUUAGUCCCUGGGAAGGUGAGAGAGGAAAUCUUCCUGGAAGCCAUUCCCAAACAUAUAAAAGUCAAAAAGGAAAUUGGGAUUAGUCUUCAUGAAUUUAUUAAGUUAUAUGCUUAACCAAUCCAACAGCUUCCUAUGGUAUACUGACCAGCUCUGUAGGCAAGGGCUGACAAGUAGCUGGCAUUGUUUAUCUUGAUUUCAUCAAGCCUUUCAGAAUUGUCUCCCAUAAUAUUCUUACAAACAAAAUGACAAAGUACAGAAAGUCUAGAAAAGCUAGACAAAGUCUAGAAAAAAUGGACAGAGAUGGACUGAAUCAGACAAGAAAAACAGAGCCAGAUACCAAAGUACGUAAGACAGCAAACCAGGCCUUGAAACAAAGAAGCUAUUACUAAACUGUCAGGCUCAAGGCUUUCAGUCAGCAAAACAAAGUCCAGUUGGAGACCAGUCACUAGAGAUAUAGCCCAGGGGGUAGUGCAGAAAUUCUGUCUGAAUGGACACUGCGCUGACCAAGAGACACCAAUGUACCCUUGCAUCAAAGGUCAACAGCCUCUGGCUUCAUUAAGAGAAAUCUUUCCAGUAGGAUGAAGGAAAUGAUCAUUCCCCUCCACUUAGCCCUGGUGAGAUACAUCUGCAGUGCUAGGCCCAGUUUUGAGCUCCCCAGAGACAUAAAGAAAGACAUGGUGUGAGUCUCGAAAAGGGUCACAAAAAUUUAGAUACUGGAGCUUCUCUCACAAAGCAAAACAGAAAGAUGUCUCUGUUCAGCCUGAAGUUUAAAACACUCAGGGGGAUUAUGUCAAUGUGUAAAAAUACCAGACCAGAGGAGGUAAAGACGACAGAGCAAGAUUCUUAGUGGUGUCCAGUGCCAAGACAAGGGGCAAUAGGCUCAAAUGGAAGUAAAGUUACUUCCCUUUAAACGUUAGAAAAAAUAUAUUCUGUAAAUCAAAUUAGAAUGUGUUUACUGAAAGCAAGGUCAUAUACAGGUCUCCCAGAGAGGUUUUAAAGCCUGCAUCCUUAGAAAUAUUAAAACCUCAACUAAACAUGGUCUUGAUGAACAUUUGAGAAGAGGAUUGGCCUAGAUAAUCUCCAGAGAUUCCUUCCUGUCACAGCUAUUCUGUGAUACAGCAAUAAUAUCAAUUUUAAACAGGACCCUGACUCUUGUUAAGUCUUGUAUGGGCACAUAUAUAAGGCUUUGAUCCCAGCUAGAAAAACAAUUAAAAUCUAUAUUUUAUUCAGUCUUAAUCUAAAAAGGAUAUUUUCUCAGGAGAUUUUUAGAAUACAGUACAAAUAGUUAGUAAUAUCUGGGAGCAGAUUAGCAAAAUCGUGCAGGAAUUCCUUAAAAAAAAUUGCAGCAGAUAGUGGCCUAGGGUGUUUUUUCUGCUUCCUAACUUGGUGUUAGACACUGCCUUAGAACUUUAUCACAUGUUAAGAGACCUUUAUCUUCUGUCUUCUUUAAGCCAACAAUACCAGCUUUCAGAACUGUUGAAGCUAAGACGAUCUUAAUUUUCUAGUGUCCUUCACCACCUCCCAGAUUUCAGUAAGCUCUACUUAACAAGUGGAAGCCCCUCUGGACAAAAUGUUGACUUCUGUUCAGGACAAAGCAGUUUGUCAAAUCACAGCUCCAGGGAGUUGGUAACUAAGCAACAGAUCAACUGUUGGAAAACUUUGAUCUCCUAAUGAUGCUCAUUUGGGAACCUUCUGACAGGGAAUUCUCUGAGGGCUGGAGAGGAUCCUAUUCCAGAAAAUAUAAGGGAGCAAGAAAGAAGGAGAUGAGAAGUAUCCAAGAUGUGUUAUUCUACAAUCUCAAGACCUCAGCCUGAAAAUCCUUCCUCAAUCUGUUUUGACUCUUAAAUUCUACAAACCGUAUGUGAAAGAAGAGUGUUCAUGGAAGAAAAGGGCCAAAAACGUGGUCUUCCACAAGGAAAAUAGUUGUAAAAGAUUCCUUUCUCUGUGGCUUUUAAAGAUGGAAUCUCUUUGUUCAUAUAAAUUCCAAACAGAUAUGUUAGUUCUUGUUGAUGUUACUGCUGUGAGAUGCUUACCUCUGAAAUGCCCCCACUAACCAGGGGAGGUCACCAGUAGGAGACAGAUUUAGGUGACUGAAUAGUAAUAAAGCCACAUCUGAACCCCAACUUGCUGCAGAGGGUUUCAGCUUUAUGUCUCUGAUGUAUAAAUACCAUCAGUGUUGGCUCAAUGGCUCAUUCAACACCAGGCCACUAGUGGGAUCAGAAGAGGCAGAGGACACAGGACAAAAAGUAGUCCUGCAAAGACACAUUAAUCCUCUCAGCAAGGCAGCCCAAUGCAUCCAUGGCUUUCCAGCUGUGACACAAGAGGACUGUCCAAGUGUCUGUUGUACAGCUGUUUCACUCUUUCAUUGUGAGUAACAUAACUAAAAUUUAUAUGGAUGUCUAGCAAAAUGCCCUGUGGGAUUUUUAAUGGUUUGUUUCCCAAUAGUUCUCCAGCUGUGACAGUGACUAACAGAAUCUUGCAGGGGUCCAGAAUAUGCUUGAAAUACCUUUUACUUUUGCCUUAGAAAAGACACUACAUUUCUUUAUGAAUUCAGAGUUCACAACUGAACCAUAUUCUCAGCUAAAUUUUGGUUACAGAAGAUGCCCUUGCUUUCAUGUUGAAUUUGGACUAGAUACUGCUUACAUCCUCAGUGGCACCCUGCUUUUUCAUUGUUUUCUUUGUUUAUUUUACUCUUAAAUUUGCUUGUUUUGCUGAAGAACUGCUCUGAAUUUCUGUUUUAUACCAUAAUUCUUCCUUAUUUUAUUGCUAACCCCAGCACUACACGUACAGGAAUACUGCAUGAUGAAUAAUGACAAAUUUAGCCUCUUCAGAAAGAUUUCUGUUAAUGCCUUUGUUUCAUAGAAGUAUUUUUGGAAUGUGGCUGAAUUUUGCUCUGUAUUAAUCAUGCACCUAUGUGACAAUUUACUAUUUGUAAUCAGGACGUGGGUUGCUUGUGAGAGCCUGGCUUAGUUAUGUGUUAUUGCUUCUAUCCUGCAUUUGGCUGUACACACAAAACCUGGUGUACAACUGCUUGUAUGUACGUGUAUAGAGCCAAAUUUCUGUACUGGCAAAAUUCCAUGGUUGCACCACCAGAGAAUUAGGCCCUUUACAUUAAAUUUCUGUGACUCUUUGAAAAGACUUUAACAUUUACUCUCCAGUAACAUUUAUGCCAGAUCAGCAGGAGUGGAAAGAGAUACAAGCAGAGCCAAAAACAUUUGUCUAAAAAUUUGGUUAAGUAGUCAUGGACAAUUGCUUGAAAUAAUAACCCUGAGUACUAUUUGUCAUCAUUGAUCAUUAGUAGUUUUAUUAUUAGAUUUGUUACUGUUUCGUGUGUCCAGGAUUUAUUAUGUAGUGAAGCCUCUUAACUUUUAUUGAAACACUAAUGUGUAAAAUGGUGUUUAAACCUGUACUUUUCACUUUUUCUGGCAUUCUCUUAAAGAUAAUGACUGGCUGUGGAUAUGUACUUGAGUUCAACAAUAACUACUAAAGCUUUCAGCUGUAAUGAUUUUCUUUUAAUAAUAACACAUACCAUUUUACUUUUUCUUUUUUUCAUAUUCAGCAGUCCUUUUAAAUACUAAUUACUGCAUAAAAAAACAAUCUUACCAGAUGGAUCAAUCAUUGUCCCCACCUUUCAGGCAAGAAUAGAUAGGAAUCUUCAGCCUAAGCUUCUAAUUUUGGCUGCCUCAUAUUGAGGAUUGUUUCAUAAAACCUGGGUGACAUUAUGGGGUGCAAACCAUUUGUUUAUCCCCUAAUGGAAUCCCUGCAUACAUACAGUGUCCUCUGUGUUCUGUGACUCUGAAGUGAUGAAUGCGAGUCAGUUCAAAAAGAUUAUUUGAGACACUUUCCCUAAGGAUCAGAGAAAGACAACAAAACUUAGAUAUUUAUAAUUCUCACUUCUGGGCUGAGUUUUUGGCUUUAAUAUACCUGCCCCAUAAUGCUGUCUAUUUUAUGUAAUGAUUAUUCUGUUCAGUAUACAAAAAAUUAUAUAAUGCAUGUACAUAUCAAAGGAAUUUCAAGCAUUGUAUUGUAUGGCAUUUCCAAAUUACACAUGACAUGGCAGGAGGUUAUUCUGUUUGUCCAUUACAUUGCUCUGCUUAAAGCACACAGCUUCUUAUAAAUUAAGUGACUAUUUAUACUCAACUAUUUUGACAAUGACAAAUGACAUAGGUGAUAAUAUGUACGGAAAAGAAUAAAAAAUUGGCUAAGAUUUAAGAAGAGACUAGGGGUUUCAGACAUGUAGUUAGAGGAGCUUGGUUCUCACUGUAUGAAAGCCUAACAUUUCCUAAAAAUCUCCAGAAGUUUCUUUAACAGAAUGCCCAGAAUAAAACCAGUUCUCUUAAACACAACUGCUAGUAAUUUUAGAAAUAUAUGGCAUUGAGCUACACUAUUUAUUUACUUUACCUACCUGCCUGAAUGGGAUAUACAGAUACCAUCCCAUCCACUAUAGUUUGUCUAGCUACUCUGACACAGCCACAGUAAGGACCUGUCAAUAUGAAGGACUGGAAAAUACAUAUUUAAUAUGCUGUAACUGUGCAAGACUUUAUAUUAUUUGAAUUGCUUGAUAUGGAAUGCUGUUCUUAAGGCAAGCUACUCACAUUUUCUGAGGUCUCCUCUCAUUUCUGUAGAAAAUAAGUCCACCCUGGUGAUGCCAUGAUGAUUUUUUGCUUUUUCUUUUAUACCCCUGUUAUAUCUUUUUACAACUUCUGUAUUCUUAGUGCUUUUUGCCUACAUUCUUGGACUUGUUUGUUCAUCUAAGAGACCAAACAUUUUAGUAGCUUUGUAGGUAGGGAUCAUUGUGUCCCAGACCCCAAGGUCCUCUCCAGAACACAUUCUGUAAACUAAGAUAGAACUAUCCAGGGGAAGGCU